rnacentral:rRNA from 1 species
GGUGAACGCUGGCGGUGGGCCUAACACAUGCAAGUCGAGCGACCGCACAGUAAGAGCUUGCCCCUACGGGUAGCGAGUGACGGGCGGGUGACGCAUGCAUCGGCAUCUACUUUUUCUUGGGGGAUAACGUAGGGCCACUUACGAUAAUACCGCAUACGACCUACCGUUUAAAUCAGGGGUUAUACAGAGCUUGCCGGACUGAAAGAGCCGAUGUCGGAUUAGCUAGUUGGCUGGGUAAAGGACCACCAAGGCGACGAUCCGUAGCUGGUCUGAGAGGAUGAUCAGCCACACUGGAACUGAGACACGGUCCAGACUCCUACGGGAGGCAGCAGUGGGGAAUAUUGGGCAAUGGGCGCAAGCCUGACGCAGCCAUGCCGCGUGAGUGAAGAAGGUCUUCGGAUUGUAAAGCCCUUUUGUUGGGAAAGAAAAGCAGCAUGUUAAUACCCCGCUGUUCUGACGGUACCCAAAGAAUAAGCAACGGCUAACUUCGUG